rnacentral:pre_miRNA from 1 species
AACACCUAGAGAUCUUGUUAAAAUGCAGGUUUUGACUCAGUAGGUCUGAGAUGGGGCCUGAGAUGCUGCAUUUCUAGCAAGUUCCCCAGUGAUGCUGC